rnacentral:pre_miRNA from 1 species
AGUGGGAUAGCUGGGUCAAAUGGUGGUACUAUUCCUAGGUUUUUGAGGAAUCUCCAUACUGCUUUCCAGAGUGGUUGUACCAAUUUGCAGUCCUAACAGCAAU